UGGUGGGUAGUUUGACUGGGGCGGUCUCCUCCCAAAGCGUAACGGAGGAGCACGAAGGUUAGCUAAUCCUGGUCGGACAUCAGGAGGUUAGUGCAAUGGCAUAAGCUAGCUUGACUGCGAGCGUGACGGCGCGAGCAGGUGCGAAAGCAGGUCAUAGUGAUCCGGUGGUUCUGAAUGGAAGGGCCAUCGCUCAACGGAUAAAAGGUACUCCGGGGAUAACAGGCUGAUACCGCCCAAGAGUUCAUAUCGACGGCGGUGUUUGGCACCUCGAUGUCGGCUCAUCACAUCCUGGGGCUGAAGUAGGUCCCAAGGGUAUGGCUGUUCGCCAUUUAAAGUGGUACGCGAGCUGGGUUUAGAACGUCGUGAGACAGUUCGGUCCCUAUCUGCCGUGGGCGCUGGAGAAUUGAGGGGGGCUGCUCCUAGUACGAGAGGACCGGAGUGGACGCAUCACUGGUGUUCGGGU
rnacentral:rRNA from 1 species